UAUUUCCUUAUUACUAGGUUUGAUAUUCUAAAAUCAUUCGCAGUUUAUAAAACAUCUAUGCUACGUAACUAAAUAUUUCCUAUUCCCGUUAAUGCGUGUACUCCCAUGAUUCCACGCGGCGCGAAAUUCUUCUGCUUACGACAAGCGUGCUUUGCGAAAAACAUUGGGUUGUAAAACGCUUAUAUACCGUGUUCUAGUACAACACAGAUUUAAUGUAUGCUUAUUAGGUGUGAUUUGUCAAACAAAGUAUUCGUUUUGAAUAGUGCGCUCGUACAUAAUCUAAGACGUUAAGGCAACUGAUGUCCAAAUCAUGUCGUCCUACUGGACGAAGCGGAGUAAAUAAAAUUGUUGAAGCAGAGUUGGCGGAACCGAAAGAAAAAGACAGAUCCGAUACAAACAAUGGAGUCACACAAAUAUGGCAGCAGACUUGCCACCAAGUAAGGUGACAAAACAUGUGAAGGAGGGAACUCUGCCAGACAGAUCAGAAGCCUCUCUUGUGUGGGUGGUACGGAUGCAAAGGAUUGUCUAAAAAGGAUCAUGCGGCGAAUCUUGGCCGACAAGGUUUUAUAACUAAAGGCCAAAGAGGAGAAAAGUGUGCAUUCAAGGGGCUUUCAAAGGUGCAGACCAUGAUAUGCAAAGCAGUACAGAAGAACAAUGGGUGCAUGGAGGCUUCAGAUAAUAUCAUCGAAGAAAGCAGCAGCAGAAAGAGUCGGGGUAGAAAGCAGAGGAGAGAACGAAACUAAAUGCUAGCAUAUUUCAAGGAAGUGACAACUGUGUUUCUGUGCCCUGUGAAUUUACUGGAAUAUUAUGGCAGAAUUGUGUAGCUACGUUUCCUCGUUGGGCUUUGGCAAAAAGAGACUUCCAAGAAAUUGAAAGUAAAAACUGUGACAUCGUUAUUAUCCUCAUCUUCAAUUAAGGCCAGGCACCUGAGGUAAAAACUUUUUAAGUUAUUUA